GUCCUUUUGAAGUUGGCAGACAGCAGACAUCAGUAUCAUCCAUCAGAUUAUUCAUCAGUAUUAUUAUUUUCUUCUCUUCUGUUUUGGAGUAUAUGAAGGAUGAUACUCCUCUGGUAUGCCCUUGAAUUAAGAAGGGCCACGUGACUCGCUCUGGCCUGUAAGCUGUGAGCAGAAGUUCCUCGUGUGAUUUUACAUGGUAAGAGAUUCUCCGUGUUCUCUUCCUCUGCGGCAAUAAUAGGGAAAACAGCGUAUGGGUUGACAGGGAGGUGUUACAACAUUGACGCUCUCUGGAAUGCUGAACUCCUGAUGGAAGACAGUUGUCCUGUACGGUAAACUUUAAAAAUGCAAGAAAUUGACAUUUGCUGUGUCAAACCACCGAAAUGUCGUGCUUGUGAUGCCACAUAACAAAGCCUAUCCUGGCUAAUACAAAGUGCCACAUGGGCAAAGAAAUUUUGUAUUUGCUAAGAUUGCUCAAGUUAGGUCUAUGACCCCCGUUGAAUAGGCUGGCUAAAAAUACAUAAAACAGGGCCUUGCCCAGUGGCACAGCAGUUAAGUUCUCACGUUCCGCUUUGGUGGCCUGGGGUUCACUGGUUUGGAUCUUGGGUGCGGACCUACACACAGCUUAGCAAGCCUUGCUUUGGCAGGCGUCCCAUAUAUAAAGUAGAGGAAGAUGGGCACAGAUAUUAGCUCAGGGCCAUUCUUCCUCAGCAAAAAGAGGAGGAUUGGCAUGUUAGUUAGUGGAUGUUAGUUCAGGGCUAAUCUUCCUCAAAAGAAAAAAAAAUAGAUAAAACAUCCUGGUACGUGGCAAGUACUCAUUAAAUGUUAAACUUUAGACAUAUCAUUUGUAAUGCUUGAGACCAACAACAAACAGGAGAACAUAACAGGGGAAGAGAAAUCCUGCAGAAAUUCUUCCCGAGAACAAUUCUUAAACGUCUAUGCCACUCAGGGGAACCCUCUACAAAGUUAUAGCGCAUGUCUUCUCUCCUUCUCUGCUUUCUCCCCAGUGGGCUAUUCCUCCUCAGAGCACCUCUCUCAGAAAUUGUCUGGUUGCACAAAACCAGGAAGAAAUAUCCAGAAAUCCUAAAAGGCCAGGAAGAACAUUUGUACAUGCAAUUUGAGGAAAACUACACUCUCUGGAUGGGAGAGAUCUCUUCGUCCAGCAUGAAACAUAUCGUACAAAGACCUAAUCGUAGAGAAGAGGCCUCCAUCUAUUUCAGACAAGGUGACCUUGAGGAAGUCUGAAGGAGCAAGGUCAAAUCUGCCCAAUUACUGGGAACUUUAUAAAAGUCUUGAGACCCUUGAGAAGUAUAUAGAUCCCAAGAAGAAUCUGGUCAAUAAAGAAAUAAAUCUUAAAGUUUUCUCUACA
rnacentral:lncRNA from 1 species